rnacentral:rRNA from 1 species
AUUGAACGCUGGCGGCAGGCUUAACACAUGCAAGUCGAGCGGAGCGAGGGUGCUUGCACCUUAGCUUAGCGGCGGACGGGUGAGUAAUGCUUAGGAAUCUGCCUAUUAGUGGGGGACAACAUUCCGAAAGGAAUGCUAAUACCGCAUACGCCCUACGGGGGAAAGCAGGGGAUCUUCGGACCUUGCGCUAAUAGAUGAGCCUAAGUCGGAUUAGCUAGUUGGUGGGGUAAAGGCCUACCAAGGCGAGGAUAUGUAGCGGGUCUGAGAGGAUGAUCCGCCACACAGGGACUGGGACACGGCCCAGACGCCUACGGGAGGCAGCAGUGGGGAAUAUUGGACAAUGGGCGGAAGCCUGAUCCAGCCAUGCCGCGUGUGUGAAGAAGGCCUUUUGGUUGUAAAGCACUUUAAGUUGGGAGGAAGGGCUUACAGCGAAUACCUGUGAGUUUUGACGUUACCGACAGAAUAAGCACCGGCUAACUUCGUGCCAGCCGCCGCCGUAA